UACGUAGGGAGCAAGCGUUGUUCGGAUUUACUGGGCGUAAAGGGCGCGUAGGCGGCGCGGUAAGUCACUUGUGAAAUCUCUGAGCUUAACUCAGAACGGCCAAGUGAUACUGCAGUGCUAGAGUGCAGAAGGGGCAAUCGGAAUUCUUGGUGUAGCGGUGAAAUGCGUAGAUAUCAAGAGGAACACCUGAGGUGAAGACGGGUUGCUAGGCUGACACGUGACGCUGAGGCGCGAAAGCCAGGGGAGCAAACGGG
rnacentral:rRNA from 1 species